rnacentral:rRNA from 1 species
UACGUAGGGUGCGAGCGUUGUCCGGAUUUAUUGGGCGUAAAGAGCUCGUAGGCGGUUUGUCGCGUCGGCCGUGAAAUCUCCACGAUUAACGUGGAGCGUGCGGUCGAUACGGGCAGACUUGAGUUCGGUAGGGGAGACUGGAAUUCCUGGUGUAGCGGUGAAAUGCGCAGAUAUCAGGAGGAACACCGGUGGCGAAGGCGGGUCUCUGGGCCGAUACUGACGCUGAGGAGCGAAAGCGUGGGGAGCGAACAGG